rnacentral:rRNA from 1 species
GAUGAACGCUGGCGGCGUGCUUAACACAUGCAAGUCGAACGAAGCGCUUUGGAUGGAUCCUUCGGGUGACGGAAGAAGUGACUUAGUGGCGGACGGGUGAGUAACGCGUGGGUAACCUGCCUCACACAGGGGGAUAACAGUUAGAAAUGACUGCUAAUACCGCAUAUGCACACAGUACCGCAUGGUACAGGGUGGAAAGAUUUAUCGGUGUGGGAUGGACCCGCGUUGGAUUAGCUAGUUGGCGGGGCAACGGCCCACCAAGGCGACGAUGCGUAGGGGUUCUGAGAGGAAGGUCCCCCACACUGGUACUGAGACACGGACCAG